GACGUGGUGCCGGAGUGGUUAACGGGUGCGCCUGCUAUCAGCAGUUGUCAGUGUAUAGGCUUUGCCUGCGUGAGUUCGAAUCUCAUCCACGUCG
rnacentral:tRNA from 1 species